UUAUAGCCCUCUGAAUAUAUGCAAGAUUUUCUGAAGCUCAGAAGCUGAAGUUGUAUGUUUCUUGUGCGUAUGUAUGCGUAUGUGUAAGAAGUGCGUGUGAAAACUUUUGGGUACAACAAACGUCAUCCAAAGUCUUUUUCUUUGUUUGUUCACUUGAAUGUCGCUGGAAGGAGAGAUACGGGGUUACUCAGUUGCAGAUUCGCUUGUUUCCUUUGAUCUAUUUUGGGGGCUGUGUCGCAGCGGAGACCGCAAGCAAAUCAGCAGAAGCCCCUGGAGCAGGAAGCCAUCGUCAACCAUUUAAAAAUAACAAACAAACAUAUAGAAGACACAGACAAACUGAACACACACAUACUGAACAAAUACAUAUGAAAUGAUCGCCUCUUCAAAGCAAAGCGAAACAAAGAUGCCACCAAAGCUUCCAACUUGUAAAUAGGCUCAUACAAAUCGAUGCACCCUAAGCUCCAUAUACAUAAGCACAACUGUGGCAAAUCCAAGGAAAGAAAUAUACGUCAUAGCCACCUUUGUCAGAGAGAGCAAAAUACAUUUUCUUAUUUGUGUAAGAACUAUUACCUCGUGUUUAUAUUAGUCUUGUGAUGCCAGACUACUUUAAUUUGCUGAACCGCUGCAAGUUUUGAAAAGCUGCCACUAGCGGGCGCCACAUUUUGAGCUCAGUGGUUUUGUACAGGAAAAACAACAACAAAAAUAAUAACAAUUUAUAAAUGUGUCU